rnacentral:rRNA from 1 species
GACGAACGCUGGCGGCGUGCUUAACACAUGCAAGUCGAACGGAAAGGCCCUGCUUUUGUGGGGUGCUCGAGUGGCGAACGGGUGAGUAACACGUGAGUAACCUGCCCUUGACUUUGGGAUAACUUCAGGAAACUGGGGCUAAUACCGGAUAGGAGCUCCUGCUGCAUGGUGGGGGUUGGAAAGUUUCGGCGGUUGGGGAUGGACUCGCGGCUUAUCAGCUUGUUGGUGGGGUAGUGGCUUACCAAGGCGUUGACGGGUAGCCGGCCUGAGAGGGUGACCGGCCACAUUAGGACUGAGAUACGGCCCAGACUCCUACGGGAGGCAGCAGUGGGGAAUAUUGCACAAUGGGCGGAAGCCUGAUGCAGCAACGCCGCGUGCUGGAUGACGGCCUUCGGGUUGUAAACCGCUUUCGCCUGUGACGAAGCGUGAGUGACGGUAAUGGGUAAAGAAGCACCGGCUAACUACGUG